rnacentral:rRNA from 1 species
UCUAGUGGCGAUAGCGAAGAGGUCACACUCGUUCCCAUGCCGAACACGAUCGUUAAGUUCUUUUGCGCCGAUGGUAGUUGGGGUUUUACCCCUGUGAGAGUAGGACGUUGCUAGGU